CUCCAACAGUCUUUAGGUUUUUGUGCUCCCAGCAUCUUUGAUCAUUGUUGUAACAGUAAAAUAUCCGUAGUGUGAUCUUUGCCUGUAAAGGUGGUUGAUUAAAAUGAGCAAAGCUUUUGUCUGGGAAAGAAUUGAAAAGAACACCAGGUUCCAGAGUAAGAUAUUCUUGGAUAGAUCCGGAUACGAAUUGUAAUCCAAAGUUAAAAAUAGUAAUUGUAUUUGUAAUCCAAAGUCUUUAAAGACCUGUAGAAGUUUACAUUCCUUAGAUACAUUGCUGGAGGUUGUGUUUGUAGAAUACCCAGGUAUUUGUUGUAGAGUAUAGGUUGUAGAGUCCAGCUUUCCAAGUAUUUGGAUAGAAUUGGUUGCAGAUAUUGAAUCAGCAUCAUCUGUUAUCACCGUGGUGAUGGCGUUGGUAUUUGUCUUUGUCUUUUGUCUUUGCUUUUUAUUUUGUUUGUUUUUUCCAUGAAACAUUUUUACACCGUUUAUGAUGUGUAUAGAUUGGAUACUCUCUGAUAUUCUUUUACGGAAUAAAUUAAUUGACAGCAUUUCCAAG